GCUUACACAUGCAAGUCGAACGAUGAAGUCUCCAGCUUGCUGGGGGUGGAUUAGUGGCGAACGGGUGAGUAACACGUGAGUAACCUGCCCCUUUCUUCGGGAUAAGCUUGGGAAACUGGGUCUAAUACCGGAUAUUCAGCGGCUGCCGCAUGGUGGUUGUUGGAAAGAUUUAUUGGGAGGGGAUGGGCUCGCGGCCUAUCAGCUUGUUGGUGGGGUGAUGGCCUACCAAGGCGUCGACGGGUAGCCGGCCUGAGAGGGUGACCGGCCACACUGGGACUGAGAUACGGCCCAGACUCCUACGGGAGGCAGCAGUGGGGAAUAUUGCACAAUGAGCGAAAGCUUGAUGCAGCGACGCCGCGUGAGGGAUGACGGCUUUCGGGUUGUAAACCUCUUUCGGCAGGGAACAAGUCCAGGUUUUGGCCUGGUUGAGGGUACCUGCAUAAGAAGCGCCGGCUAACUACGUGCCAGCAGCCGCGGUAAUACGUAGGGCGCGAGCGUUGUCCGGAAUUAUUGGGCGUAAAGAGCUCGUAGGCGGCUUGUCGCGUCUGCUGUGAAAACGCGGGGCUUAACUCCGCGCUUGCAGUGGGUACGGGCAGGCUUGAGUGUAGUAGGGGAGACUGGAAUUCCUGGUGUAGCGGUGGAAUGCGCAAAUAUCAGGAGGAACACCGAUGGCGAAGGCAGGUCUCUGGGCUAUAACUGACGCUGAGGAGCGAAACCUUG
rnacentral:rRNA from 1 species